UUGCUAAAAUGUAUAUAUUCUAGCUAUUAUUACGCUACUGGACCGUAAAUAAUCAUAUAUAAUUUACAACCAAGAUUUUUAUAGUUUACAACCCAUUAUAUGAGGUGGUCCAGUUAAGUUGACACAGCAGAAUAUGUUGAGCACAAUGUAUUAUACAAAAAAAGGCCUACCUUAAAGAAGAAGUUUAUAGCAUGGUGCAAACUACUUCAAAAAAAUAUGAACAAGGGAAUCAGAAAUGUGCCCAGUGGCAUUAAAAGAGAACAUUCACUACACUGUGAUGAAUCUUUUAUAAAGCAUCUUAAAAAGUAUAUUAAACUUGACAGCACUGCUUGGUAUUUGAAUGGAUUUUUCACCAAUUAAACUUCAAUGAAAUUAACUUCACUAUGCGCCAUUCUCUUCCUCAUUGAAAAACGAAAAGAUUCGUCUACUUACGGGUCCCAUUAUUGCUCUAGGAACGAAUUUACGAACAAAAAA